rnacentral:rRNA from 1 species
ACGAACUCUGGUAUUGAUUGGUGCUUGCAUCAUGAUUUACAUUUGAGUGAGUGGCGAACUGGUGAGUAACACGUGGGAAACCUGCCCAGAAGCGGGGGAUAACACCUGGAAACAGAUGCUAAUACCGCAUAACAACUUGGACCGCAUGGUCCGAGUUUGAAAGAUGGCUUCGGCUAUCACUUUUGGAUGGUCCCGCGGCGUAUUAGCUAGAUGGUGGGGUAACGGCUCACCAUGGCAAUGAUACGUAGCCGACCUGAGAGGGUAAUCGGCCACAUUGGGACUGAGACACGGCCCAAACUCCUACGGGAGGCAGCAGUAGGGAAUCUUCCACAAUGGACGAAAGUCUGAUGGAGCAACGCCGCGUGAGUGAAGAAGGGUUUCGGCUCGUAAAACUCUGUUGUUAAAGAAGAACAUAUCUGAGAGUAACUGUUCAGGUAUUGACGGUAUUUAACCAGAAAGCCACGGCUAACUACGUGCCAGCAGCCGCGGUAAUACGUAGGUGGCAAGCGUUGUCCGGAUUUAUUGGGCGUAAAGCGAGCGCAGGCGGUUUUUUAAGUCUGAUGUGAAAGCCUUCGGCUCAACCGAAGAAGUGCAUCGGAAACUGGGAAACUUGAGUGCAGAAGAGGACAGUGGAACUCCAUGUGUAGCGGUGAAAUGCGUAGAUAUAUGGAAGAACACCAGUGGCGAAGGCGGCUGUCUGGUCUGUAACUGACGCUGAGGCUCGAAAGUAUGGGUAGCAAACAGGAUUAGAUACCCUGGUAGUCCAUACCGUAAACGAUGAAUGCUAAGUGUUGGAGGGUUUCCGCCCUUCAGUGCUGCAGCUAACGCAUUAAGCAUUCCGCCUGGGGAGUACGGCCGCAAGGCUGAAACUCAAAGGAAUUGACGGGGGCCCGCACAAGCGGUGGAGCAUGUGGUUUAAUUCGAAGCUACGCGAAGAACCUUACCAGGUCUUGACAUACUAUGCAAAUCUAAGAGAUUAGACGUUCCCUUCGGGGACAUGGAUACAGGUGGUGCAUGGUUGUCGUCAGCUCGUGUCGUGAGAUGUUGGGUUAAGUCCCGCAACGAGCGCAACCCUUAUUAUCAGUUGCCAGCAUUAAGUUGGGCACUCUGGUGAGACUGCCGGUGACAAACCGGAGGAAGGUGGGGAUGACGUCAAAUCAUCAUGCCCCUUAUGACCUGGGCUACACACGUGCUACAAUGGAUGGUACAACGAGUUGCGAACUCGCGAGAGUAAGCUAAUCUCUUAAAGCCAUUCUCAGUUCGGAUUGUAGGCUGCAACUCGCCUACAUGAAGUCGGAAUCGCUAGUAAUCGCGGAUCAGCAUGCCGCGGUGAAUACGUUCCCGGGCCUUGUACACACCGCCCGUCACACCAUGAGAGUUUGUAACACCCAAAGUCGGUGGGUAACCUUUUAGAACCA